rnacentral:rRNA from 1 species
AACGAACGCUGGCGGCAGGCCUAACACAUGCAAGUCGAGCGAAGUCUUCGGACUUAGCGGCGGACGGGUGAGUAACGCGUGGGAACAUGCCCUUGGGUACGGAACAACAGCUGGAAACGGCUGCUAAUACCGUAUGAUGUCUACGGACCAAAGAUUUAUCGCCCAGGGAUUGGCCCGCGUUGGAUUAGGUAGUUGGUGGGGUAAAGGCCUACCAAGCCGACGAUCCAUAGCUGGUUUGAGAGGAUGAUCAGCCACACUGGGACUGAGACACGGCCCAGACUCCUACGGGAGGCAGCAGUGGGGAAUCUUAGACAAUGGGCGCAAGCCUGAUCUAGCCAUGCCGCGUGAGCGAUGACGGCCUUAGGGUUGUAAAGCUCUUUCGACGGGGACGAUAAUGACGGUACCCGUAGAAGAAGCCCCGGCUAACUUCG